UACGGGGGGGGCAAGCGUUGUUCGGAAUUACUGGGCGUAAAGGGCGCGUAGGCGGUCCGCUAAGUUGGAUGUGAAAACUCUGGGCUUAACCCAGAGCCUGCAUUCAAAACUGACGGGCUAGAGUUCUGGAGGGGGUAGCGGAAUUCCUGGUGUAGCGGUGAAAUGCGUAGAUAUCGUAAGGAAGACCAGUGGCGAAGGCGGGUCUCUGGACAGUUCCUGACGCUGAGGCACGAAGGCCAGGGGAGCAAACGGG
rnacentral:rRNA from 1 species